rnacentral:misc_RNA from 1 species
UGGACUUGGGAUGCGCUGGUGUCAAUCAGCCCUUCUAAAAUGUAGCUCUUGGCUGUUUCCUACUACAGCAGUUUGGCCUAAUAGUUUUGACUUUUGUCAAAUCUUUGGCUACAUUUGCUUCUGGAAAUCAGUCUUGAUAAUACAGAAAACUCAUUUCAAACUUUGAUCUGAAAUCAGGUAGGGCUACCCGCUGAACUUAA